CACGUAGGGGGCGAGCGUUGUCCGGAUUUAUUGGGCGUAAAGAGCUCGUAGGCGGCUCGGUAAGUCAGGUGUGAAAACUCUAGGCUCAACCUAGAGACGCCACCUGAUACUGCUGUGGCUAGAGUCCGGUAGGGGAGCAUGGAAUUCCUGGUGUAGCGGUGAAAUGCGCAGAUAUCAGGAGGAACACCAGUGGCGAAGGCGGUGCUCUGGGCCGGAACUGACGCUGAGGAGCGAAAGCGUGGGGGAGCAAACAGG
rnacentral:rRNA from 1 species